rnacentral:snoRNA from 1 species
UUCAUUGUUGUCAAUGAUGUAUUCCUGUUGAAACUGAACCUGAGUGAUCUAACUCAUAUAUUCGUCACUACCACUGAGACAACCAUGAA